CUAAUUAUAACAACCAACUGAGAAUAAGUAUUACUAUAUUGCUGUUUUUGUUUUACAGAAGAGGAAACUAUUGCUCAGUAAAGAUCAGAAGUGUAUCCAGAGCACCACAGCUAGUAACUUAUGGUGCUGGCUUCAAACCCAGAUCUGUGAUACUAAAACCUGUGCUCUUUCCAUCAUAUUACAGUAAUUCCCAACAGACUGGCCCCAGCAACAGAGAAACAGUCUAGGGUGUAUCUUAACUAUACGGCACAGAGCUACAUGGUAUAUGAAAGAAAUUUCUAGACGUGGUCUCCAGUUUUGUAUGGAGCUCAGAGUUUAAGAACCACCCUGAUAUGAGCAAAGUGAAAGACCAUAUUUGGGUGGAGCUGAGCUAUUUAUAGCAUCAUCAGAAGGUGCGGCCUUUGAGAGGUGAUGAGGUGUUGACGGUGGAGGCCUCACGAAUGGGAUCAGUGCUCUUGUAGAAGACAUCCCAGAAAGCUGCCUAGCCCCCAGUCCACCGUGCAAGGAGACGAGAAUUCUGCAGCCCCGAAGAGAGCGUUCAUCGGACGAUGCUGGCACCUUGAUCUCGGCUGUCCAGGCUCCAGAACUGUCGGCCAAGGAUGAUGAUUACAACAUGGGAGUAUCUUCGCAGUUUUCCUAUUCUCAGAAGUUUUCCACAUUUAGUGUCUCAAGAGCCCAUUUAAAAUAGGUAUAUUAUGGGCUUAUUUUCUGGAUGUACCUAAUCUACACCACCUGUUCAGGUUGU
rnacentral:lncRNA from 1 species